GAAGAAAGGAAGAAGGGAGACAAGGGUGACAGCGCACCAGACUUGUGGAGGUGACAGGGCCCAUCCACCCCGCCCUGUGGCCAGAUAAACUGGACCCUCGGGGCAAGGCUCUCUCAGCAGCCCUGGAACACCUGAGCUCGAAAUACCUAAACUUCACCAGAUGCAAUAAACUUGUUGAGUGUGGACGGGAAGCAUUAGACAGCGGCCCUGCCCGGAGGAACUCAUGGGGGAGAAGGUGAAACCUAACGUUCCUGGAUGACUGACUUCCUCGCUGACCUCACAGCCACUGCUCCACUCGGGAUCCCGUGAACCCCUUCAGCAACCAGGACCCAGUGCCCACCCCUAAAUCCUCCACAGGGGAUGGCAGGGGGGUGGACACAGCAUGGCAGGGAGAAGUGGGGUGCUCUGUCUUGGACAGGCUUGAAAUGUGUCCCCAGCGACUCCUGUGCUGACAGUGGGCUCUCCAGCAUGGCAGCAUUGAAGCCUUUAAAGGUGAGGCAUAGCUGGAGGCACCAUAACGGGGUCUGGGCCUGGGGCAGCACUGUCCUCAAAACGGAUUAAUGUGGGUAUGGUGGAACCAGCUCCACCCUGAGGGGAUAGGCUGCUCCUAAGGAGCCUGGCAUCUCCCCUGGGUCCUCCUGCACAAUGCCAGGAUCCUUUUCGCUUCCCUGCCAUGGCAUGAGAGUCAGGGGACUCUCAUGGUCUCACCAGGAUGUGGUGCCAUGCUGUCUGUGCCCACUGGGGACCAGAAUCACGAG